UUUUAACCCUAAAAGGUAUCUAUCUGUCUUAGAUUAAUAGUACAGUAACUAGAUUACAAAAGGAGCUGUUAACUCCAAAGAAUUCGUAACCCAAAUGGAACAUUACUACAUUUCUAUCUAGAGAUAAUUACAGCCACAGGAUAAAAUCAGAUUUGCUAAGACCAAAAAUUCUAUAGGAAGCCAAUAAUGCUUCCCAUUUUCUGUUUAACUAUAGCUGGAAGAAAUGCCUGUGUGAAUUGGGUACGUGAUACAGGGAUAUAGAAAUGCAUCAGGAACCAAAAAUAACUAAGAAUCAAACAGCGGUAAAGAAUGAGAUGAGAACCGUUAUAAAUGCAAAAAUGAAAGGGUUCAAUUGAGGUGAUUGAUUCGCUGACGGUAGCGGCUCCCUAAAGACAUUAGAAUUGCUGCCAUUCCCUGUGGUGGCUUCUUGAUUAACAGAUGCAGCUGGUGACACUCCAGGACUUGUCGGGUUGACACGUAGAGUGUUGCUGUCUGAAAGAUCAUAACAGUUUGAUGGUUUCCAACCCAAUACAUUCUUUUCACGAUCAAAAACUAUACGAUAACCCGUCAUGAAAUUUUGUCCAAUGAUAUUCACAUUUCCACUUUUCACAACACCCAGACAAUAUAUAUUUGUAUUGCCCGGAAGACCAACUAUUACUAGGGGGUCAGUGACAUUAAAUUGGCUUCCACCUUUCAUAACCAGAUUUAGAAUUGGCAGCUCCGGAACAGCUUGAAUUGAGCUGAAUUCAUAAUGAAAGUCAGUGCUUAAGGAAUUGUUACAAAUGCACAGAGCAAAAAAGAAAGAGCGAAUAAAGGGAAGAAAGAGAGAGGGGGAGCGAGGGGGAGAGAAUUUGUUGAGAUAUAAUUGACCUCAUCUCAUAACAAUAUUCAAAAGGUAAACCAGGAUCAGAUAAAUAGCGUUUGUCUUUUGCCUGGUUAUUGAACUGCAAACAUUACCAUAAACGUUUAGUACCACAAUGAUAGAGCAUUAAACUUUAGUAAAUAUAAAGCCUAAUUACUGAAGAUACUUACACUCUCAGAUAUAAAAGAAUAGGCAGGAUCAUUUAGGUAUGUAAAUGAGGUACCAGUGUCGAAAAUUGCAGUGAACUCAAGAUUAGAAUCGUUCCCGCCCACAUGUAUUUUACUGAUGCUGAUGUUGUAAGUUGGAUGUGACUGCCUCAGAUUGAAAGGUGUUUCUCCUUGGUCUGAACUUCCUGUAUCUCCAAAACUGAUUCUCCCAACUCCAUCAAGUCCAAAACACAUGGAAAAGGAAUUGGAAGUUAACCCUUCUCUCGCUAAAGUACUAGGAACAGAUUCAUUACUCAUACCAAGCCCAAAUAAGCCAUUGGGAGCCGCACCAUCCAAAAAUGAACCAGUUUGCCUUUGACCACAACCAAAUGUGAUUGUUGCAUUAUGAGCUGUCCUUUGAGUGUCAUCAGUAGUUAAAUGCAAAAAAUCCUCUACCAAGUACCCACUUGAUGAAGUGUUUUCAGAAAGAUAUAAAACUUGAUAAGGACAAACACUUUGAGAGGAGGAGCAUUGCUUUUGUUGUGAACACAAGGAGCUGUUGCAGGGGACUUUUUCGCUUGUUGAUGAGUUAUUAGUGCUGUAGAUAUUAAGCUGUAUUUCCUUUCCAGAUGAGGUUUGCAAGCCACGGACGCAACUUGUACAAUCACAUGGUAACCAGAAGAGAUCACUGCCAGUGUCUAGUGCUACAAGAAAUGAUAAACUCGGUGUCCCAACUAAAACAAAAGCGUAAUGUAAAAAUCCCAGAGAACUGAACCGAUAAGUUUCGUUCCCAUCAAAGAAAGUGAGCGGCGUCGAAUUAUCAGCAGUAGCAAGUCGACGGCCAUGGAUUAAUCGGUCACGGUGAGCCAUAGUAGCAUAAUACUGGAGACUACCCUUGUCUGGCAAGUCAUCAAGGGCUAAAAUCCCCUUGACCGGAUCCGAAUACCGGUGGUGAAUAUCGAAGCCGAAUGUGCCAAACCCGUUACAACUCCUCGUUAACAUUAACAGUAACAAGAAAAGCAAAGAAUUGUAACAACAAGAACUCGAAGAAGACAUUAGAAUUGGAAAGAAAAUAAAUGGAAGAUUUGGGCUUGAGUGAUUCAGAGAGAAGGAAGAAAGAGGAGGAGAAGAAGGAGACCUCUCUCGACGGGAGAAAGGAGUGUCGUUUUAAGAGAGAGGUGUAAGGUUCGGUCGGAGUCUGUAAAAGUUUUUGGCUUUCACUUAAUGUAUGCGUCUG
rnacentral:misc_RNA from 1 species